GUAACAAGGUCUCCGUUGGUGAACCAGCGGAGGGAUCAUUAC
rnacentral:rRNA from 15 species